UGGAAAGCCUUACGAAGCCCUGUGCUUCAGUUCCAUUUAUUCUAAUUAUGCCAAGAUUUGCCUCUAAUAUGUUUGCAAAACUCUUUGCUUCCAAAUGAUAUCAAAACCACUUGGAAGAUGAGAAUUAUUUUCUCAAGUAUUAAUGGUUGUUUUUUUUUAAAAAAAAGCUUCAUUUUAAAACUCACCAAUGCAAACAGUACUCAGAAACACUUCUAGGAUCUUCAUACAGAUGCUUAGACUCUUUGGUGAAAUGCAUAUAUGUAGGCUUAAAUUUUUAUUUCUUUUUUUUGUAAAUAAUAUAAAGCUUAUAGCUAAUGACAGUCAGACUCAGGGGCUGUGAGUGGCCAGUGUUACACAAACCCAGGGCAGCAAAAAGGAGGAGUUAGGAUCUGAGAGCUGGAGAUGCUGGCAGCAGCCGGGUGCACGCUCAGCACUGGACAUGGGUGCACCCUAAGCACCUGCAGGAUCCAAGCCUCCUCAAAGCAGACCUCAAAAAUUCAGUGUAUUACAGGUGUUAUGCAAGGUUGUAUAUAGCAGCAGAGGGAACGUGCAAAGGAUACCAAGGCUAAGAGCACAGAAAUGCUCUGGUGGGUGUGUGUGCACCUCAACAUCAGUUUCUCUUGACGAGCAGCUGGCCAGCCCAGUGCUUCAUCCCGGAGUGGUAGGGAUGCCUCACUGCCCCCCGUGCCACAGUUGCCUGCCACCCAUACAAUAUCAUGCUGCAAGACCUUCUACAUGGGGGCUGAGUUUUGCUGUUGCUCCUCAUGCCUUUUGUUGAGGUGGGAAUGAAAAGGAUGGAAAGCUGGUAAUUUUGGUGAUAACACAGCUGGGAGGGGGGAGAGAGACUAUGAGCCCCCUGCCUGCGUGAGGAAUUAAAGCAGCUGGAGAUGCGGUGAGUAAAGGAACCUCGUGCUCUCCAUUAGGAGGCCAACUUUUCAAAGUCCUCAGAAGCUAAAAUUGGGCAGCAGGAAAAAAAACACCUUUUCUUAUCAUUUUGCUGGUGACACAGGAUGAAAUGACCCAUUUUCUCACUGAGGCAGGGAGCAGGAAGAAGGGGGAGAAGUGGAAGAGGGUUUCCCCCUCCCCGUGCAUCACUGAGAUCCCUUUAUUGCUGAAAAACUGAAACCCAGAGAUGCCAUUGCUCAGCGAAUUACUUAUUUCAGCUCUUUCUUUGGAAAGAUCUCACAGGUGCACAUCAUUCGCAGGGCACCAAAGGUCUAUUUUUACCAUCUCUGGGCUAUCAGGAUCCAUAAGAAAGGGACAAGCAGGAUUCCCACUGCUGGGAGCCAGCACCAUCCCACCCCGCCAUCGUUUUGGAGCUGUUUCUGCCUGUGUGUGCAAGCCAGUGGCACCGUUCUCCACUAAUGAGCAAUUCCUCAGGAAGGUUAAAGAAAAGUCAAGGUUUUCUUUAAGGGGUUGGGCCACUUAAUUGGUCUAUUCUGACAAAUGCAAUAAUAUUUGCGGAAAGGCUGGGCAGAUAAAGAAAAAAGUAAACAAGGUCAGCGGUGUCUGUGUGAAACAAACCCGUGAAGAUGUGGCUGGAGAAGGGCUGCUGCCACCAGAAAGGGGAGGUUUCACCUCAUCCCACCUCGCUGGAGUCUGCAUCGCUGCCUUAGGGAUGAGCAGACUCGUGUUGAAUUAACGCAAAAUCUCCGGACACUCGGGGGCACAGCCUGGAUGGGUACUACUUGACCAGCACCGCCAACAAUGCCCCAGCACGCCUAGGCUGGGAAAGAUGAGGCCAGUCUGCGCAACUCCAUUUGGAUGGGCAGGAGUGGAAAUGAGCUAAGAGAAUAUGUGUUUCCUCUAAACUUAGAUUUGAUAACAUAAACCCAUAAAAAGCACUGAAAGUAUGUCCAGGAAAAGGAAGAAAGCAAAGCCGCCCCCCCCCCCCCCGCCCAAGUUUUUUGUUUUAUUUUUUUCAGUUUUGUGCACUCCACCCUGUUUCAUUUAUUUCCUACUUCACCUUCUUUAAGAAUGGAAAUUUCCCACCAAAAGGUGUAGAACACUCCAGCUAUUAUUAGACAUUUUCAGUAAAAUAUAAGGAAGUACAAAACCCAACAACAGACCAGAGGGCACCAUCCCGUCUCCAUCUUCAGCAGUUUUUGCCCUGUUGUCAUCAGCAUUUCAGAGCCACCUCAGCUCUUGCUGGGAGGCUCCUCCCUGGUAACACCCUGAGUGCCCGGCAGUCCGCAGGAUGCUCCUCUGACACCAGGCACCCGGGCAGAUGAAACGUGAAACAUUCGAAACAGACCAAAGGAAGCAUUUCUAAUGUGAGUAAUUAUCCUGUGGCGCUUCCUGCCAUGCGAUACAAGAGAAGCAAAUAAUGCAGGAUAAUUCCUCAAAGACUCAGUUACUGAGUUGAAUAACAGCAUCAGCUGCAGUUGUGCUGCCUAGGUCUGGUAUUAUGAAGGCUCCUGGUCCUUGUGCUUCAAACUAAUCCCCUGCUGGGAUUAGAAAAGCAAACAAUAUCUCAGUAUCCGUGACACUCACAACUUCAGGUAAUAAGGAAGGCUCAGCCGUUGCUUCUGGAGGCUGGCUUGUGAAGGAGAUAAAGCAUUAGUUUUACUUGCAUCUUUUCCCAUGGACCGGUUUGGUUCACCCAUACUGUUUUCCCUACAGUGUAGAGGAAGCCUUGAAGCUUUUCUCUAGUGGGGAUGCCUCUCUUUUGCUUAAAGCCGACUGCUUUAAAAAUACAAAACACCUUAAAAGUGUAAGGAGCUUGCAUUUUUCCGAACAAGCCAACACCUCCGGCUGCAGGGAGAGUCCAAUUCACACUUGUCAUCUGCCAGCACCUCCCAGGCACAUUCAGGUGGCUUCACAUCACGGCUUUCUGGGUGUGGAACUCCCCUGUCCCAGCCCACAGCACGGAGCACAUUUUCCCAGAGCCAGCCCUCCCCGCUGGCCGGUGUGAUGCGCAGUGAUGCCGAGCUUGGAGGAGCCGCAGGUGUCACGCUCAGGUGGGCACAUACGCUCCUCCCCGGAACAGGUGCCGGGGCCACUGCUUUGCAGUGUCAUUAAGAAGCAGCUAUUUCAUGUCCUUACACAGGAACGCCGAUGCUGCUACAUGAGUAAACUAUGAAGUUACACAUUAGGUCGUAACUUUUCAGGACUUAUUAGGAACAAAAGUGCCUUUGUGAACAUGCGGGUUACUGAAUAACCCCCUCCGUCCCCAUAAAAAGCAGCAGCCGGGAUCAAGCUUUUUUUCUUUUUAAACAAGAUCUGGUUUAUAUGCAAGUCAGGAUCUUGAGGCUCCUUUUUGUGUCUCCACAGCUUGCUUGCCUUGCUCUCAGCCAUCCUCAGAGCGGAGUUCCACCACCGAGUACAUCACUGUUUGGGGACUUGAUGUGACGAUUUAUCACAGUAACAUUUCUCAAUCACCUGCGAACCCACUGGAGAGGAGCCAGAACUGCUGCACCGACAUGAUUAAGGACAGAAGUGAAGUUCUGUACAAGGGAGGAAGGUUUCUUAGUGGGGCAAACAGCUGGAAGGAAACAGGAAGGUUCUCACAGACACAGCCUAGCAAAGACUUGUGCACUGGAGAGAUC